GGCAAGGUAGCCAAGUUGGUCACGGCGGGCGUCUGAAAAACGUCAGAUCUCAGUUCGAUUCUGAGCCUUGCCACAA
rnacentral:tRNA from 1 species